AUCUCCGACAGAGUAGGCAUCCUGGUGGUUGUUUCUUGCGAGCGAUCGAGGUGAUCCGGCGGAGCUAGGGCACGGCAGCGGGGGAAUUGGUUCGCAUCUCUCUCGGUAGAUUGAGCUCUCUCAGUUCUUCUCCUCUAUCUGUUCACUGGAGUUUGACUUGCAACUCCAAAAUUACUGGAUCGAAGUGGGCGACAUCACCAGGGAGAGUUUAAUUGAGAGGAAGCAUUGGACCAGUAUGUGGUGGAUCUUCCCAGUUGCCGGUCACUGCCAAGUCCAUUUCUUGGAGUUGUGGAGGUCUCGGCUGAAGAGUUAGGGAUCUGUUUGAGCUUCUGGCAGUGGGUUGUAGGGUUGUUAGCUACUGGUUUGCUGCCAUCCCUCAAGGUAAGUGUCUACCACUAGUUUUCUUCUUAGUGUGAAAUUGAUUCAUGGUUAAGGAAUUGGAAUUUAGCUUUGAUAUAUUGAUUUGGAUUGAAUCUUGGGCUGGUUAGCGGAUUUAGAAGGCUUUGUGAUGAGUUUGGAUUAGUGUUUGAUUGAUGAUGAAUUAUGUGGAAGAAUUUUGUGUGUUGGAUUUAUGAUGUUUGGUGGUCGAUCAAAUGGAUUAAAUGUUUAGGAUUUGGAAUUUGAUUGUGAUAAGUCGAUUCGUGAUGGUUAUUUAGUAAAUGAUUUAUGUAAAUAGACACAUGAUCGUUAUUGGUAUGUGUUGGAGUGAUUAGGGUUUGUAUUGGGUUGGUAUUUGUGGAUAUAGUGAUUGGUUAAUAUAGAUUGUUAUGUGAUCAUUCUUUGGAUUAUU